CACAUUAGAAUUCACACGUACAAACACAGAAGUGCCAUUUUUAGAUCACAUGGUGUAGCGUACUUGCGCUACUUAAACAAAGCAUAAACAUUUAUUUAUUUAUUCAUUUAAAUAUGUAUUACUUGGGCCCUGCAGAGAACAGGACUUUGUUCGUCAAACAGCACACAGCCCAAGAAGCUAAGGGCUAAGACAUGAAGAGGCAGAGGCCAUGUGACAGAGCAGAUGACUGCAGGGAUUGGCUGAGUGCAGCUGUGACAUCAGCAAGCCUCCCACUUCCUCCAUCCCUCCCUCCCCUCUCCUCUCUCUCUCUCUCUCUCUCUCUCUCUUGCGGUCGGCCUCUCUCUCUCUCCCUCGCGCAGUCGUUUUCUCCUCUGCCUUUUCCUCAGCAUCCCCCUCUCAGAGAUGGCGUGUGUCAAUGCUGCUCGGGCGUCCGGGGCCUAACGCGCACAAGGCCCUUCCCCCGAUCCGCUGCAGCCUCCCUGGGCUCCGUGUCCCAGCCGCGUCCCCCCUGCCUGCCUGCCUGCCUGCCUCCACCCCCCCUCCCGCGCCCUGCGCUGGUGUCUGGAAGCUGGGCUCUAGGGGUGAAGGGAGCCGACGUUUCCGCUUCGCUGGGGGAGCCUUUUUCAACGAGCUAUGCCCUACCCCGGCAUCCUCUAACCGGUCGGAUUCCUCCGAAUCCGGUCUUCCACCGUCCGUGGGGGGGGGGGGGGGGGGGGCAGAGGAAUGAAAAGCUGCAGUCAUGAUGGAAGGACUGAGAAAACGGACGAGGAAGGCCUUUGGGUUACGGAGGAAGGAGAAGGACACAGACCCCACCAGUUCACCUGGCAAAGAGGGGGCUAAGAAGACCAAUGGGGCUGCCAACGGCUACAAUGGCGAGAUUGAUUGGGGCCGAUAU